AUUGAACGCUGGCGGCAGGCCUAACACAUGCCAGUCGAGCGAGCGGCGGACGGGUGAGUAAUGUAUGGGGACUGCCCGAUAGAGGGGGAUAACUACUGGAAACGGUGGCUAAUACCGCAUACUAUCGGAUCACACAUAUGGGAUUAGCUAGUAGGGGGGGUAAAGGCUCACCUAGGCGACGCUCUCUAGCUGGUCUGAGAGGAGGAUAAGCAAGACUGGGACUGAGACACGGCCCAGAUGCCGACGGAGGAAGCAGUGGGGAAUAUUGCACAAGGGGCGCAAGCCUGAUGCAGCAAUGCCGCGUGUAUGAAGAAGGCCUUAGGGUUGUAAAGUAAUUUCAGCGGGGAGGCGUUACCCGCAGAAGAAGCACCGACUAACUCCGUGCCAGCAGCCGCGGUAAUAC
rnacentral:rRNA from 1 species